GUGCUCGCUUUGAUAGCACAUAUACUAAAAUUGGUACAAUACAGAGAAGAUUACCAUGGCCCCUGCACAAGGAUGUCACGCAAAUUCAUUAAGUGUUCCAUAUUUUU
ensembl:snRNA U6 U6 spliceosomal RNA